CCGAGUAACGAAGCCUCUAUUUCGUUCGGAGGGUCUUGUGUAAAUAUUUUAUAGGAAAGGCAAAAAAAUAAAAAAGCAGACUUUUUCUCAGUGUCGGAGGUUUUGAGAGAGAGAGAGAGAGAGAGAGAGGGAAGAAGAUGAAGCGGACGGUGAUGGACAAGCCUUUCCUUGAAAAGGCUGAACAAUACGAAAGAUCUCUUCAGUCUUCUCAACAACAUCAACAACAAGAUCUUGUAGAUGAACAAGUAGAAGCGAGGUGGGACGACAAUAACAAUGUCGAGGGAUGGGAGGAGAAGAGGUAGUUCUAUAAUCAGUUUUAUUUGACAAACCUAUGAAUGUGUAAGGAAAGAACCUUGUCAAAAACUUUCUUCUUUAUUAUCUUGAUCCUGGAUCAUCGUUAAGAUCAUCAAAUCUGUAACUAUCCACUAUUUUCCUUGUUUUCCUAAUCAAAUCACUUAUUAGGAUCAUA